rnacentral:rRNA from 1 species
CAGCGGGAUAACCCGGAGAAAUCCGGCCUAAUACCGCAUGUGGCCGAGGGGAGGCACCUUCUUUCGGCCAAAGGAGGCGACUCCGGAGACGGAUGGGCAUGCGUGACAUUAGCUUGUUGGCGGGGUAACGGCCCACCAAGGCGACGAUGUCUAGGGGUUCUGAGAGGAAGGUCCCCCACACUGGUACUGAGACACGGACCAGACUCCUACGGGAGGCAGCAGUGAGGAAUAUUGGUCAAUGGGCGAGAGCCUGAACCAGCCAAGUCGCGUGAAGGAUGACGGCCCUACGGGUUGUAAACUUCUUUUGUCAGGGAGCAAUUGGGUCCACGUGUGGGCUUAGCGAGAGUACCUGAAGAAAAAGCAUCGGCUAACUCCGUGCCAGCAGCCGCGGUAAUACGGAGGAUGCGAGCGUUAUCCGGAUUUAUUGGGUUUAAAGGGUGCGUAGGCGGAAUAUCAAGUCAGCGGUAAAAAUUCGGGGCUCAACCCCGUCGUGCCGUUGAAACUGAUGUUCUUGAGUGGGCGAGAAGUAUGCGGAAUGCGUGGUGUAGCGGUGAAAUGCAUAGAUAUCACGCAGAACUCCGAUUGCGAAGGCAGCAUACCGGCGCCCAACUGACGCUGAAGCACGAAAGCGUGGGUAUCGAACAGGAUUAGAUACCCUGGUAGUCCACGCAGUAAACGAUGAAUGCUAAUUGUCCGGAGGGAUUGACCUCUGGGUGAUACAG